CAUGUCUUUUUGAUUAUAAUUUAAGGUCUAAUCUGCUCAAUGAGGAUUUAAAUUGCCGCGGUAUUUUGACUGUGCAAAGGUAGCAUAAUAAUUAGUUUUUUUAUUGAAAGCUGGAAUGAAUGAUUGGACGAGAGAACUACUGUCUCUAAAUAAUUUUUUAUUGAAUUUAACCUUUAAGUUAAAAGGCUUAAAUUUAUUUAAAAGACGAGAAGACCCUAUAGAGUUUUAUAGUUGAAUUUUAUUAUUAAUUUUUGGUAUUUUAUGAUUUUAUAUUUAUUUAAUUAUUUGGUUGGGGUGAUUGGAAGAUUUAAAUAACUCUUUUAUUUUAUUAUCAUUGAUUUGUGUAUGGAUAAUCUAGACUUUCUAAAUAUAAGAUUAAUUACCUUAGGGAUAACAGCGUAAUUUCUUUUUAGAGUUCUUAUUGUGAGGGAAGGUUGCGACCUCGAUGUUGGAUUAAAAUUUAUUUUGGGUGUAGAAGCUUGAAUAUUAGGUCUGUUCGACCUUUUAAAUUUUACAUGAUCUGAGU
rnacentral:rRNA from 1 species